GACGAACGCUGGCGGCGUGCCUAAUACAUGCAAGUCGAGCGGACUUGAUGAAGUGCUUGCACUUCUGAAAGUUAGCGGCGGACGGGUGAGUAACACGUAGGUAACCUGCCUACAAGACUGGGAUAACAUUCGGAAACGAAUGCUAAUACCGGAUACGCGAAUUGGUCGCAUGACCGAAUCGGGAAAGACUGAGUAAUCUGUCACUUGUAGAUGGACCUGCGGCGCAUUAGCUAGUUGGUGAGGUAAUGGCUCACCAAGGCGACGAUGCGUAGCCGACCUGAGAGGGUGAUCGGCCACACUGGGACUGAGACACGGCCCAGACUCCUACGGGAGGCAG
rnacentral:rRNA from 1 species